GCUAUAUCAUGUUGAAACAUCAGCUCUCAUCCGAUCACCAAAGUUAAGUAAUGUUGAGCUUGGUCAGUACCUAGACGGGUGACUAUUUUGGAAAACCAGGUGUAGUAAG